rnacentral:rRNA from 1 species
UACGGAGGGUGCGAGCGUUAAUCGGAAUCACUGGGCGUAAAGCGCGCGUAGGCGGCUGGUCAAGUCGGAUGUGAAAGCCCCGGGCUCAACCUGGGAACUGCAUUCGAUACUGUCCGGCUCGAGUCCGAGAGAGGGGGGUAGAAUUCCAGGUGUAGCGGUGAAAUGCGUAGAUAUCUGGAGGAAUACCGGUGGCGAAGGCGGCCCCCUGGCUCGAGACUGACGCUGAGGUGCGAAAGCGUGGGGAGCAAACAGG